rnacentral:rRNA from 1 species
GACGAACGCUGGCGGCGUGCUUAACACAUGCGAGUCGAACGGAAAGGCCCUGCUUUUGUGGGGUGCUCGAGUGGCGAACGGGUGAGUAACACGUGAGUAACCUGCCCUUGACUUUGGGAUAACUUCAGGGAACUGGGGCUAAUACCGGAUAGGAGCUCCUGCUGCAUGGUGGGGGUUGGAAAGUUUCGGCGGUUGGGGAUGGACUCGCGGCUUAUCAGCUUGUUGGUGGGGUAGUGGCUUACCAAGGCUUUGACGGGUAGCCGGCCUGAGAGGGUGACCGGCCACAUUGGGACUGAGAUACGGCCCAGACUCCUACGGGAGGCAGCAGUGGGGAAUAUUGCACAAUGGGCGGAAGCCUGAUGCAGCAACGCCGCGUGCGGGAUGACGGCCUUCGGGUUGUAAACCACUUUCGCCUGUGACGAAGCGUGAGUGACGGUAAUGGGUAAAGAAGCACCGGCUAACUACGUG